rnacentral:rRNA from 1 species
UACGUAGGGGGCAAGCGUUGUCCGGAAUUAUUGGGCGUAAAGCGCGCGCAGGCGGUCAUUUAAGUUUGGUGUUUAAUCCCGGGGCUCAACCCCGGGUCGCACUGAAAACUGGGUGACUUGAGUACAGAAGAGGAGAGUGGAAUUCCACGUGUAGCGGUGAAAUGCGUAGAUAUGUGGAGGAACACCAGUGGCGAAGGCGACUCUCUGGGCCAUUUCUGACACUGAGGCUCGAAAGCUUGGGGGAGCAAACGGG